GGGGGCGUAGCCCAACUGGCAGAGGCACUCGGCUUAAAACCGGGUUCAGUGUGGGUUCGAGUCCCACCGCCCCUA
rnacentral:tRNA from 1 species